GGGGGCAAGCGUUAUCCGGAUUUACUGGGUGUAAAGGGAGCGUAGACGGCAGCGCAAGUCUGGAGUGAAAUCCCAUGGCUUAACCAUGGAACUGCUUUGGAAACUGUAUAGCUUGAGUACUGGAGAGGCAGGCGGAAUUCCUAGUGUAGCGGUGAAAUGCGUAGAUAUUAGGAGGAACACCAGUGGCGAAGGCGGCCUGCUGGACAGAAACUGACGUUGAGGCUCGAAAGCGUGGGGAGCA
rnacentral:rRNA from 1 species